AGAGUUUGAUCAUGGCUCAGAUUGAACGCUGGCGGCAGGCCUAACACAUGCAAGUCGAACGGUAACAGGAAACAGCUUGCUGUUUCGCUGACGAGUGGCGGACGGGUGAGUAAUGUCUGGGAAACUGCCUGAUGGAGGGGGAUAACUACUGGAAACGGUAGCUAAUACCGCAUAACGUCGCAAGACCAAAGAGGGGGACCUUCGGGCCUCUUGCCAUCGGAUGUGCCCAGAUGGGAUUAGCUUGUUGGUGGGGUAACGGCUCACCAAGGCGACGAUCCCUAGCUGGUCUGAGAGGAUGACCAGCCACACUGGAACUGAGACACGGUCCAGACUCCUACGGGAGGCAGCAGUGGGGAAUAUUGCACAAUGGGCGCAAGCCUGAUGCAGCCAUGCCGCGUGUAUGAAGAAGGCCUUCGGGUUGUAAAGUACUUUCAGCGGGGAGGAAGGGAGUAAAGUUAAUACCUUUGCUCAUUGACGUUACCCGCAGAAGAAGCACCGGCUAACUCCGUGCCAGCAGCCGCGGUAAUACGGAGGGUGCAAGCGUUAAUCGGAAUUCUGGGCGUAAAGCGCACGCAGGCGGUUUGUUAAGUCAGAUGUGAAAUCCCCGGGCUCAACCUGGGAACUGCAUCUGAUACUGGCAAGCUUGAGUCUCGUAGAGGGGGUAGAAUUCCAGGUGUAGCGGUGAAAUGCGUAGAGAUCUGGAGGAAUACCGGUGGCGAAGGCGGCCCCCUGGACGAAGACUGACGCUCAGGUGCGAAAGCGUGGGGAGCAAACAGGAUUAGAUACCCUGGUAGUCCACGCCGUAAACGAUGUCGACUUGGAGGUUGUGCCCUUGAGGCGUGGCUUCCGGAGCUAACGCGUUAAGUCGACCGCCUGGGGAGUACGGCCGCAAGGUUAAAACUCAAAUGAAUUGACGGGGGCCCGCACAAGCGGUGGAGCAUGUGGUUUAAUUCGAUGCAACGCGAAGAACCUUACCUGGUCUUGACAUCCAAGAACUUUCCAGAGAUGGAUUGGUGCCUUCGGGAGCUGUGAGACAGGUGCUGCAUGGCUGUCGUCAGCUCGUGUUGUGAAAUGUUGGGUUAAGUCCCGCAACGAGCGCAACCCUUAUCCUUUGUUGCCAGCGGUCCGGCCGGGAACUCAAAGGAGACUGCCAGUGAUAAACUGGAGGAAGGUGGGGAUGACGUCAAGUCAUCAUGGCCCUUACGACCAGGGCUACACACGUGCUACAAUGGCGCAUACAAAGAGAAGCGACCUCGCGAGAGCAAGCGGACCUCAUAAAGUGCGUCGUAGUCCGGAUUGGAGUCUGCAACUCGACUCCAUGAAGUCGGAAUCGCUAGUAAUCGUGGAUCAGAAUGCCACGGUGAAUACGUUCCCGGGCCUUGUACACACCGCCCGUCACACCAUGGGAGUGGGUUGCAAAAGAAGUAGGUAGCUUAACCUUCGGGAGGGCGCUUACCACUUUGUGAUUCAUGACUGGGGUGAAGUCGUAACAAGGUAACCGUAGGGGAACCUGCGGUUG
rnacentral:rRNA from 1 species